UUUUUGCUCUUCACUCAAAUUUUGGAGCAGUUUUACUUUGGAUUUAUGGGUUCUUGAGCUGAAAUAUGACCUGAUAUUGAAGUUGUGUGUUGAUUAUUACUGUUGUUUAUUUACUGCUGAACUACAUGUCUUUACUUAGUAUUUUUGGAGCAAUUCUUAAGCGGCUAUGUAUACACUUCACCCUCUGCUUAAGUAUUUGUAAAUUUGAUUUAAUACAAA
rnacentral:lncRNA from 1 species